rnacentral:lncRNA from 1 species
AUGCCCAAAGGAAAGAAGGACAAGGGGAAGAAGGUGGCCCCGGACCCUGCCGUGGUCAAGAAACAGGAGGCCAAAAAGGUGGUCAAUCUUUUGUUUGAGAGAAGGCCCAAGAACUUUGGCAUUGGGCAGGACAUCCAGCCCAAAAGAGAUCUAACACGCUUUGUUAAAUGGUCCCACUACAUCAGGCUGCAGAAGCAAAGAGCCAUCCUCUAUGAGAGGCUCAAAGUACCUCCUGCCAUUAACCAGUUCACCCAGGCCCUGGACAGGCAAACAGCUACUCAGCUGCCUAAGCUUGCCCACAAGUACAGGCCAGAGACAAAGCAAGAGAAGAAGCAAAGGCUACUGGCCUGUGCUGAGAAGAAAGCUGCUGGCAAAGGUGAUGUCCCAACUAAGAGACCACCUGUCCUUUGAGCAGGAGUCAAUACCGUCACCACCUUGGUGGAGAACAAGAAGGCUCAGCUGGUGGUGAUUGCCCAUGACAUA